rnacentral:rRNA from 1 species
GGUUGAUCCUGCCAGUAGUCAUAUGCUUGUCUCAAAGAUUAAGCCAUGCAUGUCUAAGUAUAAGCGUUAUACAGUGAAACUGCGAAUGGCUCAUUAAAUCAGUUAUAGUUUAUUUGAAGAUAAUAACCAUUAGGAUAACCGUGGUAAUUCUAGAGCUAAUACUUGCUUCUAGGCUUUAUUAGAUAUGAAUCACAAUAACUUCAGAUCGUUCUGACGCUUCAUUCAAAUUUCUGCCCUAUCAGCUAGAUGGCAAGGUAUUGGCUUGCCAUGGCAGCAACGGGUAACGGGGAAU